rnacentral:rRNA from 1 species
CCCUUAGAUGUUCUGGGCCGCACGCGCGCUACACUGAUGCAUUCAACGAGUUUCUUCCUGGUCCGAGAGGAAUGGGUAACCUUUUGAAAGUGCAUCGUGAUAGGGAUAGACUAUUGCAAUUAUUGGUCUUCAACGAGGAAUUCCUAGUAGACGUAGUUCAUCAGACUGCAUCGAUUACGUCCCUGCCCUUUGUACACACCGCCCGUCGCUCCUACCGAUUGAAUGCUCAGGUGAGCCAUUCGGACUUUCAUCAUGCUGGUUUCCAGUUUUGAUGAAGGAAAGUCUUGCGAACCUUAUCGCUUAGAGGAAGGAGAAGUCGUAACA